AAAAAAACCAGAUUUAUUUGGAUGCGAUUAUAUUUUUUUCUUUUUCUUUUUUCCCUUUCUACUUUUGCGGUGUUUUCUUUGAAUUUUGAAAGAUGAAGGACGAAACAGGUGAUGGAGAGAACGAUAAAUUUCAGGAUAUUAAGCUUUGGGGAGUUUUUCUCUUCGGUUUGAUUGGCGCCACCGCUUCAAGAAUCGCAAUAUUUGCACAAAUCAUAGUGAAAUUGAUCUUCCAUGCUGUACUCUUGAACUCUUUGCAGCUGUCCCGGUCGCAAUCAUCGUGGAAAGGAGGGAGUGGCAGUUCUUUCCGAUCAGCAUUUCAAGAGGAAGCAUGGAAGAGGUACAACAAACGAUUGCGAGAGGAGUACGAGGAGGAGAUGGAGAGGGUGGAACGAAUAAAGCAUAUGCAGAGUGUGUUUAGCAGAGAAAGAAAUAAGUAUAAAAGAAGCUAUGAGCAGUGGAGGGAAAAUGGUCCUGGUGCAUAUCAUCAACAUUUCCAGAGAGAUGAUUGGUAUUGGAAGGCAGACACAUCCUUCAGAGACCAGAGGACUAAUUAUCGAGAUACUCCGAGGGAGAGUGCAUAUUAUUCAUUAUCACAUCACUACUCAGUUCUGGGUCUUGACAGGUUUAGAACAACACCAUAUACAGAUGCCGAGAUCAAGGUAGCAUUUAGGAUGAAGGCGAAGCAGUAUCACCCUGAUCAAAACCAGGAUAAUAGAGUGCCAAGUUAGCAGUCUAUUAAACCACGUAGUUCAAGGUGAAGAGUCCAAUUGCUAAAAAAAGGAUGCAGUUUCAAUGUUCCAAUCUCUCUUCUUCAAAUAAAGUAGCAGUGAAGAAGAAGAGGAGCAUCAAUGAUCGUUCGCAAAUUUCAGGUUUUUCAAGUUCAACUCCUCUCUCACUUUUGUUCCUCCCGACCAACAGAAGAUUUAUGUUCCUGAAGAUGAUACCCCAGUCGCCACUGACUCCGAUCUCCUCGCCAUUUCCAACAAACUCCGACUAGUCUCCGUUGAAGACGAACCUCAGCCCCAACCAAACACUGAACAAAUGAUGAAAAUAAAAUUUGAUGGUUAGGAUUUUACAAUUGAAAAUGGACCAAUUUGAGUUUUUUUAAAUGAAUUUUGGAUACUAAUUUGAGUUGAA